rnacentral:rRNA from 1 species
UGGGGAAUAUUGGACAAUGGGGGCAAGCCUGAUCCAGCCAUGCCGCGUGGGUGAAGAAGGCCUUAGGGUUGUAAACCCCUUUCACCGGUGACGAUGAUGACGGUAGCCGGAGAAGAAGCCCCGGCUAACUCUGUGCCAGCAGCCGCGGUAAAACAGAGGGGGCAAGCGUUGUCCGGACUUACUGGGCGUAAAGCGCACGCAGGGCGUAACGCAAGUGGGGUGCGAAAGCCGCCAGCUCAACUGGCGGAGGCCAUCCCAAACUGCGUCACUUGAGGCCUGUAGAGGUAUGUGGAAUUGCCGGUGUAGUGGUGAAAUGCGUAGAGAUCGGCAGGAACACCCAGGGGGAAACCAGCAUACUGGACAGGUCCUGACACUCAGGUGCGACAGCGUGGGGAGCGAACCGGAUUAGAUACCCCUGUAGUCC